rnacentral:rRNA from 1 species
CUCAAAGAAAUUGACGGGAGGGCACCACCAGGAGUGGAACCUGCGGCUUAAUUUGACUCAACACGGGGAAACUUACGAGGUCAGGACACUGUGAGGAUUGACAGAUUGAAAGCUCUUUCUUGAUUCAGUGGGUGGUGGUGCAUGGCCGUUCUUAGUUGGUGGAGUGAUUUGUCUGGUUAAUUCCGUUAACGAACGAGACCUUAACCUGCUAAAUAGUCACGCGAACCGGUCCGCAAGGGCUCAAAGUUCGCGGCUCGACUUCUUAGAGGGACUAUUCGCACCCGCCAGCGAAUGGAAGUUUGAGGCAAUAACUGGUCUGUGAUGCCCUUAGAUGUUCUCGGCCGCACGCGCGUUACACUGACGGAGUCAACGAGCGUUUUUCCUUGUCCGAUAGGGUUGGGUAACCUCCUGAAACUCCGUCGUGAUGGGGAUAGAUCAUUGCAAUUAUUGAUCUUGUACGAGGAAUUCCUAGUAGGCGCGAGUCAUCAACUCGCGCCGAUUACGUCCCUGGCCCUUGCACACACCGCCCG